rnacentral:rRNA from 1 species
GGACGAACGCUGGCGGCGUGCCUAAUACAUGCAAGUCGAACGAGCUCUCCCAAAUUGAUUUUAUGCUUGCAUAAAUGAUUUUUGGAUUCGGAGCGAGUGGCGAACUGGUGAGUAACACGUGGGUAACCUACCCCGAAGCGGGGGAUAACAUUUGGAAACAAGUGCUAAUACCGCAUAAUUAGUUGGAACCGCAUGGUUCCAACUUGAAAGAUGGCUCUGCUAUCACUUUGGGAUGGACCCGCGCCGUAUUAGUUAGUUGGUGAGAUAAAAGCCCACCAAGACGAUGAUACGUAGCCGACCUGAGAGGGUAAUCGGCCACAUUGGGACUGAGACACGGCCCAGACUCCUACGGGAGGCAGCAGUAGGGAAUCUUCCACAAUGGACGAAAGUCUGAUGGAGCAACGCCGCGUGAGUGAUGAAGGUUUUCGGAUCGUAAAACUCUGUUGUUAAAGAAGAACAAGUGUUAGAGUAACUGUUAACACUUUGACGGUAUUUAACCAGAAAGCCACGGCUAACUACGUGCCAGCAGCCGCGGUAAUACGUAGGUGGCAAGCGUUGUCCGGAUUUAUUGGGCGUAAAGCGAGCGCAGGCGGUUUUGUAAGUCUGCUGUGAAAGCCCUCAGCUCAACUGAGGAAGUGCAGUGGAAACUACAAAACUUGAGUACAGAAGAGGAAAGUGGAACUCCAUGUGUAGCGGUGAAAUGCGUAGAUAUAUGGAAGAACACCAGUGGCGAAGGGCGGCUUUCUGGUCUGUUACUGACGCUGAGGCUCGAAAGCAUGGGUAGCGAACAGGAUUAGAUACCCUGGUAGUCCAUGCCGUAAACGAUGAAUACUAGGUGUUGGAGGGUUUCCGCCCUUCAGUGCCGCAGCUAACGCAUUAAGUAUUCCGCCUGGGGAGUACGACCGCAAGGUUGAAACUCAAAGGAAUUGACGGGGGCCCGCACAAGUGGUGGAGCAUGUGGUUUAAUUCGAUGCUACGCGAAGAACCUUACCAGCUCUUGACAUCUUCUGCCAACCCAAGAGAUUGGGCGUUCCCUUCGGGGACAGAAUGACAGGUGGUGCAUGGUUGUCGUCAGCUCGUGUCGUGAGAUGUUGGGUUAAGUCCCGCAACGAGCGCAACCCUUAUUAUUAGUUGCCAGCAUUUAGUUGGGCACUCUAGUGAGACUGCCGGUGAUAAACCGGAGGAAGGUGGGGACGACGUCAAAUCAUCAUGCCCCUUAUGAGCUGGGCUACACACGUGCUACAAUGGAUGGUACAACGAGUCGCGAAACCGCGAGGUCAAGCUAAUCUCUUAAAGCCAUUCUCAGUUCGGAUUGCAGGCUGCAACUCGCCUGCAUGAAGUUGGAAUCACUAGUAAUCGUGGAUCAGCAUGCCACGGUGAAUACGUUCCCGGGCCUUGUACACAC